rnacentral:lncRNA from 1 species
AAUGUGCAUAAAUGAUUGUGUAGGAAAAGAAUGAAAGAUUCAAAAAUAUGAGAGCAAGUCAAACCAUGAUGCAUACAACAAGUAGAAAGGUUUUUGCUCGCUUAGAAGUUGAAAUGGUAAAAAAUUGUUAAAUUAAAGUUAAAUUUGUUUGAAAAAUUAUAAAUGUUAUACAAACUACCACACAUGAAAUGUGUAAAAUGCAGCGUGCUAAAAGUGAAGAUCCUGAUUCGAUAACGAGAGAUGAUGUUUAUAUUCGAGGACAUACACAAAAAAAUGGUGAACCUAUUAAUGAAUCGGUUGGGAAAACAUUGGUAACAAUAUUGCUUUUAGUAAUUUUGUAUCAUUCAAAGCUUAUAUUAGCUAAUUUUAGCUCAUUAAUGUAUUUCCUCAUAUCAGAAUAAAAUAAAAGCAUAUUCAGAGACAAUUUCUCUCCAAGCAAACACUCACUUGAAGGUGAUGGUGUUGCAAAAGUACUUGGUCCAGAACGUCCAGGACGAGUAAGAGGUCUUGGUUUCGAUGCGACUCCUUCAAAGUUGAAUGCUUUGGUGCACAAUCAUAACUUGCAAACUCAAGUUCAAAAGUUGAGGGAUGAAAUUAAAGAAUUAAAAGCUCUAUUUCAAGUGAAGAGUAAAAGUGCUGAAUAAGAAGAUAAUGUAAGUGGAAAUCUAGAAUCAAUAAAUGUUAUUUUAAAUUAUAUAUACUUUCUAUAUUCAAAAUAAUAAAUUGUACAAUUGAAUAUUAAUUUUACAGUCUAGAGAUAGAAGCUUGAAUGGUUUAGAUAACCUUCAAAAUAAGAAGUGCAAAUUGUUAUCUUGGUUUGGGAAAGUUGAUAUUGUUGCAAAAGGUGAAAUCGCAUCAACAAAUCCAAAUGAUCUAGUGCAUCAUGUACCCCUUGGUAAUGAACGUUGGAGAGUUUGGAUUAAUGAAGUGAUCGAUAAUGUCAUCUUAUAUCGUCCCACGCGUGAGCUUUUUCUUCUUGAAGAGCAUUAGGAAGUACAAUUACAUGACCAAGUAGGUAUAUCGAAGUGGAUUCGCUAUAAUCACAACGAAGGUAUGCUUAACUUCCUUUCUAUUUUAAUCUCAUUUACCUUUAUGUUCGGUCUCAAUUGAAGAUAGGGUUGUUUAAUAUAUUUCUUGAUACACUUUUGAUUUGGAU